AUUAAUAGUUAUGUUCUUUAAACUCAAAGAAUUUGACGGUAUUUUAGAUCUAUUCAGAGGAACCUGUUCUGUAAUUGAUAAUUCACGAUUAAUGUUAUUUAAUUUAUUUGCUUGUAUAUCUCCGUAAUUAGAAUAUCUUUUGAGAGGUGAAAUUUUCGUUUUUUAUAAAAGAUUUUAUUUCAGGUCAAGGUGCAGUUUAUAAUUAAGUAGAAAUGGGUUACAAUAAAAUUAUGUUUAUUACGUCUAUGAUAUUGAAAUUUAUUUUUAAAGGUGGAUUUGAUUGUAAUUUAAUUUAUUUUAAUUAAAUGAUUAUAGCUCUAGAAUGUGU
rnacentral:rRNA from 1 species